rnacentral:misc_RNA from 1 species
GUUAUGGGCGAACUGUUUCUUGAGACAAAAAGUGUUCCUACAAGUACUUCCAUUGGUGCCAUGAGAUUCUCUAUUGUAGUGCUUGAACAAGUGCCUGCUAUCUUUGGUCUAAUUGAGAGAAAUGGAUGGAAAUAUUUAAUCCUUGUGAAAUCUGACUCUUCUUUUUUCUCUGAAGAUGAUUUUUGCAAAGUACCCUGGUCAUUAGUGUAUGUGAUUGUUCCUGAUGUCCAGGAUGGUAUUUUUGUCAGCCAGUUCAUGAGUGUAAUUUUUAGGGAUGGGGUGGUGGUGGUUACUAUUGGUCAA